CAUGCUAGUCGAGCGGUAGUACGGAGCUUGCUCUGCUGGCGAGCUGGCGGACGGGUGAGUAAUAUCUCGGAAUCUGCCCGGUAGUGGGGGAUAACGUUGCGAAAGUUACGCUAAUACCGCAUACGACCUACGGAUGAAAGUGGGGGAUCUUCAGACCUCUGUGCUCUCGGAAGAGCCUAUAUCUGAUUAGCUAGUUGGUAAGGUAAUGGCCUCACCAAGGCAACAAUCCGUAGCUGGUCUGAGAGGACGACUCAUCCACACUGGAACUGAGACACGGUCCAGACUCCUACGGGAGGCAGCAGUGGGGAAUUUUGGACAAUGGGCGAAAGCCUGAUCCAUCUAUGCCGCGUGAGUGAAGAAGGCCUUCCGGUUGUAAAGCUCUUUUGUCUGGGAAGAAACGGUUGAAAACUAAUAUCUCUUGCUUAUGACGGUACCUGAAGAAUAAGCACCGGCUAACCUCGUGCCAGCAACCACGGUAAUACAUAAGGUGCAAGCGUUAAUCCGGAAUUACCGGGCGUAAAGCGCGCGCAGGCUGGUUUUUUAAAUUCUGAUGUGAAAAUCCCCGGGGCUCAACCCUGGGAAAUGGCUUUGGACCACUGCUAGGGCUAAAAAAUUGGCAAAAAGGGGGAGGAAAUUCACCGUGUCACAAUUGAAAAGGCUUAAAUUCUUUGAGGGAAACCCCAAUGGCGAAAGGCGCCCCCCCUGGGUCCAAAAUUUAACCCUCCAAGGCCCAAAAACGUGGGGGGGGCAAAAAGGAUUAGAUACCCUGGUAGUCCACGCCCUAAACGAUGUCUACUAGUUGUCGGGUCUUAAUUGACUUGGUAACGCAGCUAACGCGUGAAGUAGACCGCCUGGGGAGUACGGUCGCAAGAUUAAAACUCAAAGGAAUUGACGGGGACCCGCACAAGCGGUGGAUGAUGUGGAUUAAUUCGAUGCAACGCGAAAAACCUUACCUACCCUUGACAUGGCUGGAAUCCYYGAGAGAUCRGGGAGUGCUCGAAAGAGAACCAGUACACAGGUGCUGCAUGGCUGUCGUCAGCUCGUGGGCGAGACGCGGGAUUAAGUCUCAUAUCUAGCACCGCCCUCGUCCUUAGUUAUCAGCAGGUAAUGGAGGGCACUCUAAGGAGACUGCCGGUGACAAACCGGAGGAAGGUGGGGAUGACGUCAAGUCAUCAUGCCCCUUAUGGCCUGGGCUUCACACGUCCUACAAUGGUAGAUACAGAGGGUUGCCAACCCGCGAGGGGGAGCUAAUCCCACAAAGCUGAUCGUAGUCCGGAUGUGCAGUCUGCAACUCGACUGCGUGAAGUCGGAAUCGCUAGUAAUCGCGAAUCAGCAUGUCGCGGUGAAUACGUUCCCGGGCCUUGUACACACCGCCCGUCACACCAUGGGAGCGGGUUGCACCAGAAGUAGCUAGUUUAACCUCCGGGAGGGCGCUACCCACGGUGU
rnacentral:rRNA from 1 species